AAAAAAAAAUAACAAAUAAAUUUUUCUUUUUAACUAAAGUGAAUAACAUUCGUGACACUUCUUUUAGUAGAAAACGAAUAGUAAGUGGGAUUCAUCUCACUGAUAAAAAUGAUGAUAAUCGUGAUGAUGUAGAAGAAAAUAACAUUUCAACUUUUGAUGAAUAUUUUAAUACGAUUUCAGAAAAAAACUAUAUCAAGUUAGAAGCAGAAAAAUUAAAAAUUCUUAAAGAAAGUGUUAGUAGUUAUAAAACUGAAAUAAGAAAUGCAUUAAAACAAAGUAGCAAAAGUGAAUAUAAUAAAUUGUUGAAAGAAGAUGAAGAGGACGCUAAAAUAAGUCAAUCUGUUCAUGAAAAUAUAAAAAUAACAUUUCAUAUGAAUGAAAAUAUUAACAAUUUUUUGUUUACACAAUAUAGUUAUAUGAUAAAUAGAUUAAAGGAAAAAUCUAUAAUAUUGAAAACCACGAAUUUUGUUGGAAAAAAAAUGGACAUGGGUAAAGUAAGUAGUGAGAGUGACAUAAGUGAAGAAAUAAAUAAAAAUUUAGAAACAAAUAGUUUUUUAUCAAAAUUUGUCCAAAAUGGGGAAAGCAAAACAGACGAUGUAACAAUCCGUAUGGAAAAACAAGAACAACCCAUUUCUUCUAGUGGUGACGUAACUUUUUUGAAAUUAAAAAAAAAUGAUGGUGGUGGUAGCCAAACAAAAAGAUGUAGAACAUUCAGUGAUCAAAUAUUUAUGAAUGUAAAAAUGAAAAAUAGUAAUGUUUUAAAAGAUGAAGAUAAAGGCAUAAGUAGUAGUAUAUUUUAUGAUGAUCGACCAGGAUUUUUUAAUGAUGUCACAGGUCUUCAAGAUUUUCAGAUAAAAGAAGAAGAACAUGAGGACGAAGAAGAAGCAGGGAAAACUAUUUUAUUAAAUAACAAAGUAUCCUGUUUGGAGUUAUUAAAAGAAAAUGCCAAAAAUUGUAUUCAGUAUAAAAAAGAAAAUGUAAUAAAAAAUAAUUUACAAGAAGAUAUAUUAUAUGGUAGGGUAAAAGUACAUUGGUUUCCUAAGUUUAUGAAACGCGUAAUAAAUAAAUUACCUGACUAUAUAAAAGUGAGUGAUAUUAUAAUAGAAGUAAGGAAUGGUAUAAUACCAUUUGUUUUUGACGAUUUAUAUGCAUUAAAUAUGUUUAAUAUAUAUACAAAUAAACCUAAAAUUAUUGUUUAUACUAAUGCUGAUCGUUGUUCAGUUAAAGGUAUGGAAGAGUGGGGUAACUACUAUAGGAGAAAGUUAUUUUGGUCUGACCGAAAUUUUAAUAAAAAUAUAGACAUGAGUGUAAAAAAUGACAUUGCUGAUGAAAAGGGCCCUAAUAUCAGUCACAACAUCAGCGAACACACCAAUAAUAAACACGUACCCAACCGAUUAAAAAAAAGUGCUGUGAUAUUUGUUGAUGCUAAGAAUGGUAAAAAGAGUAUUAUUGUUUUACAAAAAUUAAUUAAUAGAUUAUGCCAUGAAGUAAUAGAAAGUAAAAAAAGAAAAGGAAUAUUAAAAUAUAAAGUAAAAUGUAUUUUU
rnacentral:lncRNA from 1 species